rnacentral:rRNA from 1 species
GGCUCAGGAUGAACGCUAGCUACAGGCUUAACACAUGCAAGUCGAGGGGCAGCACGGAGAUAGCUUGCUAUCUUGGGUGGCGACGGCGCACGGGUGAGUAACGCGUAUCCAACCUGCCCUAUUACUCAGGGAUAGCCUUGCGAAAGUAAGAUUAAUACCUGAUGUUGUUAAAAACCCGCAUGAGUUUUUAACCAAAGAUUUAUUGGUAAUGGAUGGGGAUGCGUGACAUUAGGUAGUUGGUGAGGUAACGGCUCACCAAGCCUACGAUGUCUAGGGGUUCUGAGAGGAAGGUCCCCCACACUGGAACUGAGACACGGUCCAGACUCCUACGGGAGGCAGCAGUGAGGAAUAUUGGUCAAUGGACGAGAGUCUGAACCAGCCAAGUAGCGUGCAGGAUGACGGCCCUCUGGGUUGUAAACUGCUUUUAGUUGGGAAUAAAAAGAGGGACGUGUCCCUAAUUGUAUGUACCAUCAGAAAAAGGACCGGCUAAUUCCGUG